rnacentral:rRNA from 1 species
AUGAGGAUGAGGACCACCAGCCUCCUCCUUGCCACCGGCGUCAUCGUUGCGGUCAUCUGCGCCGCCGUCGUCACCCCCACACCCAGGUGGAAAUCCUCCGACGACGAUCUGAAGAUCGAAGAGCUCGCAAAGUGGGCGCUGGCGGAGAUGAAGCAAGGCCUCCAGUUGAUCAAUGUGCUCCGUUGCGAGGAGCAAGACCAAGGCGGUCCAGGAAUCAUCUAUCGUAUCAUGCUGGACGCGCUCAACCGCACCGGCGGGAUGGGCCACUUCACAACGGACGUGUACGAGGAGGCGGCGACCAAAGUGCGCACGCUCCUCUACUUCGGCAUAGCCCGGUAG